rnacentral:lncRNA from 12 species
CCCCCCCCCCCCCCCCCCCCCCCCCCCCCCCCCCCCCCCCCCCCCCCCCCCCCCCCCCCCCCCCCCCCCCCCCUGUGCCCCAGGUGUGCCCAGGUGUGCCCAGGUGUAUCCCAGGUGUGCCCCAGGUGUGUCCCAGGUGUGCCCCAGGUGUGCCCAGGUGUCCCCAGGUGUGCCCCAGGUGUGCCCAGGUGUGCCCAGGUGUGCCCAGGUGUGCCCAGGUGAGCCCCUGACCCAGGCUGGCGAUGCGGCCGAUCACCGUGCGGUCACCUGUGCUGAUCACCAGCCCCGUGGCUGUACCUGCGUGCACAGGUGAGACAGGUGAGACAGGUGUGACAGGUGUGACAGGUGUGACAGGUGAGAUCACAACCCCUGAUUGUGUCCAGGUG